AUCGUCGUCUCAUGCUUCUAUUCUCUUCUUGGUUAUGUAUCUAAAAUCCCUAAUUCAUUCUCACUCCAGCCCCGUCCUACCCUAGUCUCUUUCGCUUCUCUCUCUCUCUCUUUCAACGGCCGUAACACCGUGUGCAGUACCUCAUAUUCGAGGCACAAAAAAAAAUCAAAAGGUUCUAAUGACUUCUAAUCAUAACGGAACAUCGAAAUGGUGAAGAGAGACAGUUCGAAAAGAGACAAUUCGAAGUCAAGAAGAGAGAACGAUUUGGGUUCUAAUGACUUGUAAAUCAUAAAAGAACACGAAAAUGGUGAAGAAAAGAGAUGAUUGGAAGUCAACAAGAGAGAGAGAGAAGAAAGAGAGGGUUCGAAGAUGGAUUUUGGGCAUUUUGAUCUAGAAGGGUUUCAAUCUCUCUUUGGAAACUUCAACCUGGUUCGGUGGUGACAACAAUCAAUACAAUCUCUUCUUUUCUCUUCUCUUCUCUUCUCUUUGCGUUUCAUUGCUUUUGGUUCAGUUUUGGUUGGUCAUCUUCGACCUGAUUCUGAAACCCUCCAGUCUUCAACCCCUUUCCCAUCACCAAAAAACAAAACCCACUUCAUCUCCAUCGAUUUCAAGCAUACCCAUUUCAAAAAAAUGUUUUCAAAAUCGUCAAAUCAAAUAUAUAUCUCUUGUCCUCCUCUGUUCUGCUUCUGGGCAUUGAAAAGAUCAAUGUUUUCUUCAUUUUGUUUUCAAAAUUAUUGAAUCAGCUAUGAAUCUCUAGUUCUGGGCAUUAAAAAGAUCAAUGUUUUGAUUUCGUUUUGUGUGAUUUUGAACUCAGAUUUGUGUAAAUUGAGUUAUUUUUUUGUUGAUUGAACACAAAACAACUUGUUGUCUGGAGUUUUGAUAAGUUUAUCUCAUUACCUGGAGUUCCUGAACUUCUUACAAGCCCGAGUUAGAGAAUUGAAGAAGACUGAUCAUGCUAAUCAUACCAUAACAGUGCUGCUAGUUGGGAUUCCAAAUGUUGGAAAGUCAGCCCUAGCCAACUCUUUGCAUCAUAUUGGAUGGAUUAGUGCUGCAGAGAAAGGAAAGUUGAAACAUGCAACAGUGAGUCUGCUGCCAGGGGAGACAAAAGAUAUCAGCAGCUUGAAGGUGUGUAAUCUUUCUUUCAUCUAUGCCUAUAUUGCUAGAAUUGUUUAGAUUGGGAAUUAUAGCUAAUGCAUUCCAAAUUCUCUGGUUAUUUCAUCUUCUCUAAAAAAAAAUGGUCAUAAGAGAAGACCUUUGCUAUGCUGAGGUUUUUUAGCAUGUCUCUUUUCUUUCAGCUUCCUUUAUCUGUAUGUGUUUAUCAUGUAAUAGAUGAGGUUUUGCCUCCAAAGAUUCCUGAUGCCGAGGUGCGUUCGAAACUUGCUUUAACAUGUAUGGUUAAUAAAAAAUUCUCUCUUUUAUGAUCUAACUAUGUGAAAAAAAUGUGCUAGAGUUACUCUCUUAAGCCACACAAAUUUCUCUCCCAUUUGGGAUUGGUUAGAUAAUUGAGAUCUUUAGAUUUUUCAGCAAUUAUGCUCCGAUACAUGCUUUAAAUUUGAAAUGCAGGAGUUAUUAAUGACUGUUUAAUUGGGGAAGCAGAACUAGCUCAAUAUUUUUUGGCUAUCCUCAACUUGAGUGAUGAAUACAAGCAAUGGUCAAAAUUGUCUACCACUGCGAGUGAAAAAUUAUCAGAUGACAAAGUCGAAACUUCAGUUAACUCCAAGUUGGACAAGAGACAGAAACAGUAUGCCACAGAUCACACACAGACAUUUUUAGCUGCCUACACUCUACCAUUGCUAAUCCUCUCGAUUGCAGACCUCUUGCAUCAAGGUUUGUGAAAUUGAGAGCAAGAAGAUAGGGUUACUAGUCAUGUAUUACUUAAGGUAAUUGCAAAUGCUUGCAAAGUUCCAACAACAUUUGUUUCAGAAUUGACUGAAUCUGAAGAUCCUGAUGAAUGUGUAAAGCACUUUGAUGAAGAUCAAGAAUUAGAGCAGCUUAUAAGUGGGGAAAUAUGUUUUAUGAAAAUGUUUUGCAGAGACAAAUACUUCUAAUACAGAAAGGAAGAUAAUGUUAUCUGGUUCAUUUAAUCCUUUACAUGAAGGUCACCUAAAGCUUCUUGAAGUUGCUACUAGGAUUGAAGGAACGUGGUAAGAGUUGCAAGCUUAGAUGGGCACCCUCGUCCCUGUGAUAGGAGCAAGUGGGUUUGCUACAGCUACAAUUGCUAUAGGAAUUGUUGCUUGUAAUUUUAAAUAAUCUCUUAAUAAUUUUGAAUAUGUUUAGAAACUUAGAUAUGCAUAAUUUUGGAUGUUUUAAACUUUUUGGAUAGUUUAGAACUUAAGAAUAUAGUUUUCGAAUAUUUUGAAUGUAUAGACAAUUUUUGAAUGUUUAUAAUUUAUGGAUAUAGUUUCUUUUUGA